AAGACAAUAUUUUCAGGAAUCAUUUCUACAGUUCAUUACUAGAGAAGUUCCUCUGAAUGUGUAGAGCACUGGAAGCCACAAAGAGGAAAUGCAGGGUUCUUUUCUAAGCAUGAAACCAGCUCUUGGUGUUGCUUUGCUGCAACUGCCAUUUUCCAUUGAUGAUCAUUCUUCUCUUCCUUUGGGAGAGUAACAGGGAGAGAUUGCAGUCUGAGUGGG
rnacentral:snoRNA from 1 species